GUGCUGAGGCUGUCCAGCAGGAAAACUUGAAGCUUGCAGACGCGCUUGUGAAGCACGUGGGCCUACUCGCGGCUGCCCAAACCGGAGCUAUGAGGAAAGUCGCCACGUACUUCGCUGAAGCUCUGGCUCGUCGGAUUUACCGAAUAUACCCUCAGGAUUGCCUCGAUUCUUCCUACUCGGACAUUCUCCAGAUGCACUUCUACGAGACCUGCCCCUACCUGAAAUUUGCUCACUUCACUGCCAACCAGGCAAUACUCGAGGCUUUUGCCACGGCGACCAGAGUACACGUCAUCGAUUUCGGGCUUAAACAGGGGAUGCAAUGGCCAGCGCUCAUGCAGGCGCUGGCACUAAGGCCCGGUGGCCCACCCGUGUUUCGCCUGACGGGUAUUGGGCCGCCGCAGCCCGAUAACACCGACGUUCUGCAGCAGGUGGGAUGGAAGUUGGCUCAAUUGGCAGAAACUAUUGGGGUCGAGUUUGAAUUUCGAGGAUUCGUGGCCAAUAGCCUGGCUGACCUCGAGCCGUCUAUGCUUGACAUCCGUCAGGACGAGGCCGUAGCGGUGAAUUCGGUUUUCAAGCUUCACGGUCUCUUGGCUCGAGCCGGGGCGGUGGACAAAGUGUUGUCAUCAAUCAAGGCCAUGAAGCCUAAAAUUGUGACUAUUGUGGAGCAGGAGGCGAACCAUAACGGGCCGGUUUUCUUGGACCGGUUCACGGAGGCAUUGCAUUAUUAUUCAAGCUUGUUUGACUCUCUGGAGGGAUCGUCCGGGCCGAGUCAAGAUUUGGUCAUGUCCGAGGUCUAUUUGGGUAGGCAGAUAUGCAACGUGGUGGCAUGUGAAGGUGGGGACCGAGUUGAGCGACACGAGACGCUGACUCAGUGGCGAGGCCGGAUGGACUCCGCCGGGUUCGACCCAGUCCACCUCGGAUCGAACGCGUUCAAGCAGGCUAGCAUGCUGCUUGAUCUUUUCGCCGGCGUAGAUGGGUAUCGGGUGCAGGAGAACAAUGGGUCUCUCAUGCUCGGGUGGCACACGCGGCCGCUCAUAGUCACCUCGGCUUGGAAGCUGGCGAGCUCAACGGAGUGAGUGAAUGAGUCAAUUUCAGUCGGUUCAGCGGCGGUGAUUGAUUGAACCACCGGGCACCCAGUGGGGUGGUUGGACACUGUGACCAUGUGAGUUGUGAAUUGUCAGUAGAGAGAGUGGGGACUACAAUGAAAGUGAAACUGUGAAACCAAUCCAAUCGAAUCAAUCAAGUGGUGUAAACUGUGUAGUUGUAAUUGUAAUGGUAGUUUUUUAUUUUUUUUUUCAUUUUUUUUAUGGGCCCUUUUGCAUAAGUUCCAAGUUGUAGAGUCCUUUCGACAAGGGGGACGAAUGAAUCAUUGUGACGAUGUGUAACUAUCUAUCUUUUCUGGAAUAAAAUGAUGAGCAUUGAUUCUUGAAUGGGAAAGAAACCAUUUUGCUCUCUGUAAAUUUGACACAUUA
rnacentral:lncRNA from 1 species